UUGAACAUUUUGGCUGGGAUCAGUGAGUGCUGCUGAGGUGGCUGGUGUGUGCAGCUACUCCAGCCUCGCAGGCUCUGCAGCACGACCAGCCCGCACAUUCGGCACUAUCUGCCUCUCCGUUUUACACACCACGGCGGAUGAGAAUGGUUAGUUAACACAGUGGCAGACUUCAUGCUUGGGGCUCUGUUUUGCCAGCCCCUGACAACACUCCCUUUCCAAAGUAGCCCCUGGGGCUGAGAAAGAUGUGGCCGGGCAAGGUAAUUUUUCCAGACCCCAGCUUUGCAAUCAGUGAUGACAUCUCUGAAUUUCCAGCUUAAAAAGGACAAAAAAUAAAAUCUCUUCCAGAAAAGGUGAAUGUGAGAACAAAUAUUAAAGAAGAGGGGAAAAAAGCCCUUCAUUAGAAUGAGAGAUUUUUUCCUGUAACUGAUUUUGUUAGAAACUGUGAUGUUAGAAAAACCAAGUCUGCCUCUCAGCAAAAAAUCUGCCUUUGAUUUUAUUCUCUUUGGGGAAUACUUCAGGGGAAAGAAAACACUGUGAAGCAAAUUCAUAAGAUGUAAACUAUGCUCAUUGUAGCACUUAUUUUUCCUUUAAGCCUGAGGAGGAGCCCUGCCACCAGAAUAUUACAGGAAAAUUGAUUUGAUUUUCUUUGAUUAUCCAUUCAAGAAAACAAAGAUUCAAAAACUGGCAGUGAGAUCAGCAGCUUUUUCUUCUGACAGAGAAGGUGACAGUGAACACCAGUUUCUGACUUAUACACCGUUUGGAUAUAGAUGACGUGCAUUGUUAACUUUCUGACACAUCCUCUUACUUAUAAGCUACAUGGCUUCAUAAACAAACAAUACUUCUGAGCCCCAUCUAUGCCUCGAGAAGCUGAGAAAAAAAAUCCUUAUGGACGUCGGCUACGUGGAAAUCCUAGUUCAUGUUUGUUCAGAAAUUUUGAGUGAGUGAGGGCAACUACUGAAUCCCAAUGAGGCCCAAGUUCAAUGAAACUCCUGUACCUGCACUUUUGGCUUUGACGGAAUAUGAAAACUUUGCUAAGCUGAAUGCAACAGGAGACGCUGAAACUAAACAGCUAGAAGGGUCCCUCUCAUCAACAGUUGCACUAAUAAUAGUGCUGAUCAUUAUUUUCUCUUUGAUAAUGACAUCCUUAGUGACCUACUGUUUCCACAAGUGGCAACUGAGAGGUAAAAAACUGCAGAAAGCGCAAGAGGAAUAUCAGCGAGACCAUGAAAAGAGCAUGUUCCAAAGCAUGUCAGGACUUGUUUCAUAAAAGAAAUCAAUCCAACACGAAAUAUUCCUGCAUUACCUGAAAGUGAAAAAUAACUAACUAUUGGAAGCUACAUAUUGAAAUAACCACCUAAAUAUAUCCUGGUUUUACCUAAUUUGUAAGAAUUUUUAAUGGUUUGGAAAUUUCCAAUAGCUUCCUUAUAAAUCAAAAAUAUUCAGUUGUCUCAUUUGUGCAAAGUACAAUAAAUGCAACCAUGUAUUUUAAUCUGCAUUUUAUUUACUAAAAAACAGUAGGUCAAGCCCUGCUGUCCUUACUCUUAUCAAAAUUCCCAUGGAAGUCAAAGGGCCAAAGUCUCAGCUCGUUCCAAUCAGCAUAGCUGAUGGGAGUUGAUAGAGCUAUGAUGAUUUGCAUUAGCAGAUGAUCUGGCUCAAAUGAGAGCUUUAUCUGAGUAAGGUCCACAGGAUUUUACCCAAUUAUCACCCAAUCCUGAAAGCCUUCUGGGCAGAACUCCCAAAGACUUCAAGAAGAGUUCCAUGCACAGAGAGCUUGCAAGAUUGAGCCCUAUGUUUGCUAGCAGACUGUAUGUUGAUAAUAAUUCCAUUUAUUUCGUUUAGGGUCCAUGGGAAUUGAGGGCACUCAGCACCUCACAUGAUGGCCCCAGACUUAUUAAGGAGCAUGCAAGCUGAACACACUUUUUUAAAGCUUGCAAUUAUUUUUAACCAGGCUUACAAUGGUGUGUUUCUAUUUUUGUAGCCUGUAAUGUUAUGUCAUGAAAAAGAUGCUGACUCUAUUGCGGGUAACAUAUGUAAGUAAUAUUUUCUAACAAAGUGUUGGAUGUAACAUCAGUAUAAGUAGCUGUUUUAAAAUGUAGAAAAUAUGUAAAAAAUGCAAACAAAAACCCUGCUCAAGUAUAUAGCUUGCUUGCAAUUACCAUUAGCUGGUGCUGUAUGUAUUUUUAAACAAGCUAUAAUACUGUGAUAUUGCUGUACACUUGCUUCUGUAGGCAAAAAAGUUCAAUUUAAAAACUGUCAAGAAGAUUAAAGAUGUAAAUGUUCUUACCAGUGCUAACAACAAAAAUACGGAUUUUCAUAGGAUAUUCUAAAGGCAGACUCUGUUACAUGCUAUGGAUCUAUUUCACAAUGUAUUUAUGGAUCAUACACACUAUUUGUCGUGAGAACAAACAGUACAAUUUUAUUAAUAAAUAAAUAAAUAAAAAAUAAAUAAGCAAGCAAGCAAGCAGUGAAUGCCCAUGGCCAGAAGGUGGAUAAUGCUUUCAUAGGGCCCCCUGAUCUAUUUUAUUAGCAACUUGGAAGGCAUGUUCUGAAAAGAACAAGGUACCCACUACCUCAUUUGGGGAAAAGGCAAAGUGGCAUUCCCCCCACCAUCUUUCACAACUCAUCAAUCCCAUUUUCAUGUCUGUGUAGGUAAAGACCUAUAGUAUAUCAACUACAUGAGAGAAAGGGACAGUAGACUGGGGAGGACAAAAAUGCAAACCUAAUCCAUACACUAUUGAUCUAUACAUUUGUGAAAAUAAAAAAACUCUGAAACAUUAAUUUUUAACAAAGUGCCACUUACUAUAACAUCUAUACUGUACGCAGCAGCAAUUUCCGCAUAUUUGUGUGUUCAGCUACAUUUUUAUUCAGUGGAGACAAUAAAAGGUAAUUUCUUUGUUAUACCAGAUAAUAUUUAAGUUGUAACUUGAAGACACGGGGCACAUCAUUAUUUUUAAAAAUAUACAUAGAACAACUUUCAAACUCAAUACCAGGGUAUAUAUUCUGGAUUAACUGCACUGAAAGCAGUAGAGUUAGUCCAGAUUUGCAGUGGCGUAGAAGCUGGGCACUGUGUCAAUACGAUGAUUCAUCCCCACAGGAGGGCACUGUUCUUUAAAGCAGUAAACCUUUCACUUCAUUGCCACCAGUUCAACGCUCCUGACAAAUUUUCUAUCUGAAUGAAUGGGAUUGGCUGGCUUCAUUGGCUCUGAUGACACUGGCUACAGUGACAGGUAUCUCAAGGAAGGAAAGGUGAAUUUGUAUAAUCUUGGCACCUAUGAAGCUAUGUAGGUUGUUGAUCAGGGAUGAGUUUCUGACCGGCAGGGGGCACUAGAGAGCUUCUGGCACUUCUAAACUUCUCUCACAGUCAGUGUGGCCUGCACACAAUGAAGAAAUUUAAAACUGCUAUAAGGCUUACUGGUAAAGAAACUAGCCAAGCAGCAGAUAGUACAAGGGAUCAGAAAUGAGAUAUAUAGUUUUUCACCUCUGCCCUUGUUUAAUCCAGUCCAGGUCAGUAGCAAUCAAACAUCAUUACCAUCUUAAGGCAUUGCAGUGGCCUAUGGGGAAUGAAAUGGACAUUUUGGCCUAUUUCCUAGUGGCAAGCAUCCAUAUCAUAGAGUCCACUCCUAUAACUGGUGCUCAGAAAAGAAGCUAAGGAAUGAAUGGGCCUGGAGUUAAUUCAUCUCCUCAGAGCUGACCUCUUCAGGGAGAAGUGGGACAAUUCAGGGGAAGAAUGCACUGCCAUAGCAGCUAAUGUUGUAUCAGCCUGGUGCUAGUUUCAAGAUAAUAAUCUUUCAGGUUGUCAAUUCAGCAACAUUCAUGGUCACGUUACCAACAAAGUGCAGCCUAAUAAAAACCAUUACUAAUGAAUAUGUAAAAUAAAUCAGUGUAUGUAACAAAAACAAAUCACUUCUGCAUUUGCAAGAUGUUCAUAGCAAUAAACUCUAGUGCUUCACAAAUCAUUCAGAGGAUUAAAAAAGGGUAAGAGUGUGCAGUAUGAAAACCAAAAAAGAAAAACUCUAAAUGACACUUAACAAUGGAUGGACUAAUUUGUUUCAGUGCCACAUCUGCUUAUUGUAUGACUCACCCUUCAUCAGUCUCACUCCUUUUAUACCCCAAUGAGCACAGACAAGGAAACCAGGUGAAUAAAUUUUUCUUGAUCACAGUUUUAAAGAUGUUUCUCCAGAUCAAAACAAAAAUCACUCAAAAAAAAAAAAUGGCUCCUGGGGAGUGUAAAAGGAAGAGCACUGAUCUAGACGCCUUUGUGUGGUCUCCAUGUCAAAAUUCUUUGGUUACUAGUCUCAGUCCCUGCAGGAGUAUGAAAUAAGUAAUUUACAGGGCAACCUCUCUCAUUUGCUUCGUACUGUACAUCAGCAAUAGCUGCAACCAGGUAACAGAAAAUAAGUGUUCAGAUCCCAGAGUUACUGUUGAUAAAAUAGGAAAGAGAAGAAUUCCAAAACUGUUCUCAGCCUGCAGUACUGAGCAGCAGAAAAAGAUACACACCACAGAUCAUACGGGUGCUGAAUUUUUAAAUGAAUUUUCUGAACUGCCUCUCUAAAUUGGGUGUGAAUGGUGCACUGCGGGAAAAUAAAAUCGGUAAGUGUCUGAUCCAAAGAACUUAUAAUUCAGUGUAUUUACACAAACAGUUGAGAACUAAGAGUUAAAAAGAAAUACUUCAAGAUUUCCAGUGACAAUCUGGACACCAAAAGCAGAGUUCAGAUGCACUGCUGUGUCCUGUCACUAUGGAUUUAGAACCCUGUAUCUAAUAUUGCCUGUUUUUAGUAAUGAAACAAAGCUACACUGGUGUAUUAUUUUGCACUGUGUUAUGCAAGGGUAAAUUUUCAAAGGGCCUUAGGCAUGGCCUCCCUUUCUGUGUGUGCACUUUGCUACCACUGCUCCACAACAGAACCCUUAUGAGACCUUAUCUUGAGUAAUGGGGGAACUUUUGCUAAUGGAGUUCAAAAAAGGUCAACAAGGAAUUAGGCAGAGUUUGGGAAGGGAGGGGGAGUGGAGUCACAAGACAAAUAUGGGGCAGAGAUGGAAUGUCUAAUGUGAACAGGGUUAUAAAAGUGGAAGAAAGGAGAUUUAUGGGGGAUUUUAAUAUACCUAAGCCUCGUGCACUAACAAAAAAAUCCAGUGGCAUCUUGCUCACCAUAUAAGAUAGCUAUAAAAGUUGCAGUCGUGAUCUAAAACUGAAAGUGAUGCUAAUGGGAGUUCUUAGGAUGGGCUACUAUGCCCAGACGGUUGUUAAAAGGUGGAAUAAGCUGCCAGUGAAAGAAUGAGAACAGCUAGUAUUAAAGAAUUUAAGACUGCUCUAGAGAUUCACUGAAGGUCUAACCUACUCAGGCAAAACUAAUGAAAUCGUUCAUGGAGGUUAUUUAUACCACAAGAUCAAGGAUAAUCUAAGUGAACCUCUAAUUCCCAGCAUCCUAAUUUAUUUUCAUGCUUUAUAUUGAUUUGUGCAUCAUGAAACCAUGUGGCUAAACACACAACCCUGGGUACACUGAUCUGAUAGCUACAAUACAUAGUAUAUGUAACAACUACAUACCUGUAAUUUGUUUAAACAGAACAUCAAAUCAACCCCUUCAACAGAUUUUCUUUUACCAAAAGGGAAAAAAAACGCAACACCAAAGUAUCAUUCUAGUGUCUUAACAUGCCACUGAACUAUUAGUCAGUGAUCUCCUUCAUAUACAUAUUUGAUAGACAAAUGUCUUCCCAGAUCCUAAAUUGCUGUGGAAGGCCCAAACGUGCUGAAAACAUGGAGGAUGCAGAGGCCAGUGGGCCUGCAACUCAUGUGGAUCCAUUGGCUACAUAUCCCUGGUGAGGGAUGAUGGAAUAUGCUACGGCUGUCAGUAGAAGCCACGAUGGUGACCACAGUAGUGGUCAUAGUUCUGCUGCCCACAUGCCUUGCUUGGAGUGAGCAGAAGGAUUUCACUGCUUCCAGCCCCCAGAGUUCUCCUGUGCAAAGCCCCUUUACUUGGACUUCCUAUUAGUACCAGACUUUCACCCAGAGAUAAUCUCAAUGAGAUAGUGACAUUCCUUUUCAGGAAUCGAUAGAAAGUGACAGCAUAUGCAUCAGCAAGUUCAGAAAACAGUCAAAAUAUUAUCUUAAUUGACAUUUUAUUCCACUUUUAUUCUGUAUUUUGUUUUCUUUCAUUUCUAAACAUCCACCCCAGACAGGUUUUAUGAUUAAUUUAAAGCCAUUUCUUGUCCUAUUGGCAUUCUCAGGGUUACUGAUUUAUUUCAGUUCAUAUUCUCAUUAUUUCAGUUCUAUAAAUGCCUAGUUUCAUUUUAUUCCUUUUACAGUUACUCUGCAACCUUCUCUCUCUCUCCUCCACCUGGGGCUCUAGCUUUCAAUUUAGCAGGAGGCAGAAGGUAAAGAUUGAGCUGAAGCCCAAUAAUUACACCUUCCCACCCAGAAAAACAGAACCAUCUAUUUUUUGUACAGAUUGAAGAAGCAGUGAGCUGCUCUGAAAUCCCAUAAGCAAACCCACAAAAACAAUAGUUAUUGCUUAUCAGAAUAAUAAUAACAAAAAUGUCAGCUUCCAUAAUUUGAAAAAUGUAUUUGGUUGGAUUACACUGUAUUGCAGCUUUUGCAUUC